rnacentral:rRNA from 1 species
AUGGCGGAGGAACCAUCCGCCAAACAUCAUCAAGGCGAGCCGUCGGACAAGAGCAGCAACCUCAUCGACGUUCAUGUCCCCAGCGAGAAGCGCGAGUACACCACAACACUCACAGGGGUUGAGCUCCAUGGCAAGGAGACGCUGGAGAUCGUCUGCACCAGCGAACCAGUCAAGGCCGACGAGGUGAUCUCUAGGCUCUGA